GCCCGCCUAGCUCAAUCGGAUAGAGCGUCAGACUUUUAUGACCUGGAGCUUGUACUAUCAAUCUGAAGGCUGCGAGUUCGACCCUCGCGGUGGGCU